GCGUUUAGGGUAAAACCGCUCCAGUACCUGCAGAAGGAGCUGUUGGGUCUUUGACUGAGAAGAACCAGUGGGAGACAUUGCUGGCCGCUCUAGGUCACCAUGCUCGACCUAAAAGAGAAAUGCUGCAGGCAGUGCUCCAGGUCUUUUCCAGAGGGGUCGUCUGUGAAGAGCGCGAAGCCUGAAAUCUGUGGCUUCCUCAUGCCUGCUCUCUGGUUGACUGUGUUCAGGAACUCCUCCACUGUGGUGGAACCGUCAAAACCUACAACCUAGAGAGAGAUGGAAGAAGAGCCAAAUCCAGCUGAUUAUCUCCUGCGCUAUAAUGAGCACCAGGCCUCCCAUCACAGCCUUUGAUCCUGCUGUGGGAGACAGUAGCUCUCUCACACACAGGGACAAGACGGCACCAUCAACCCUCAGGAGAGGAGGACGAGGACAACUUAGAAGUGUUUCGAGAGAUGGAGUGACUCUUCAAGGAAGAUAAAGACAACAAGAGGACAUAAAGACUAGAGCGUUUGUGAAUGUGAGAGUAAAAGAAAACAGAGACGAGAGCGUUCACCUUAAAG